CCCAACCUCUUCAUACCCCAG
rnacentral:miRNA from 1 species